UACGAGGGGAGCUAGCGUUAUUCGGAAUUACUGGGCGUAAAGCGCACGUAGGCGGCUUUCUAAGUCGGGGGUGAAAUCCUGGAGCUCAACUCCAGAACUGCCUUCGAUACUGGAGAGCUUGAGUCCGGGAGAGGUGAGUGGAACUGCGAGUGUAGAGGUGAAAUUCGUAGAUAUUCGCAAGAACACCAGUGGCGAAGGCGGCUCACUGGCCCGGUACUGACGCUGAGGUGCGAAAGCGUGGGGAGCAAACAGG
rnacentral:rRNA from 1 species